AACUAACUUGCAGCCACUACAUGAAUAGAAUUCUUAGAUAAAUCAUAAUUAGCCACAAGCUGCUUGUAGGCCAUCAGAGUUCGAAUGUCUUAAGAUACGAAAAGAUUUUGAGAAAUGUAUUUUAGUAUAAAUAAAGUCUGCAGUACAACAUCAGGAAAGUUAUCAAGACUGCACAUUGGUCAAUAUUGGAACCAUUGUAUAAAUACUACUCUCUUUCUAGUCAAGUUCACAGAUAUGUUUAUAUAUAUUUUGAACACCUUCACCGAACAAAGAUGCAGAGUACUCUAAAGGACAUCCUGUAUGGCGAUCUAAUAGAAGGCAGGAGAGCCGCUGGUCGCCCACUUUUAUGGUAUACGGAUGUAUGCAAACGCGACAUGAAGCUCUUCAAAAUCGACACUGGCAACUGGGAAGAGGUGGCACUGGACAGAUCCACAUGGAGAGAGAGCAUAAAGGAAGGGUCACAGAUUGCAGAUGUCAUACACAACAGAAGCAGAAAGAAGGGUGAAAAUGCAGCGGCGCCUAGUGAUUAUAUAUGCCCAACCUGCGAUCGCAGCUGUGUAUCAAGGAUUGGCCUCUUUAGUCACACAUG